CAGGAAGCUUCCUUGGAGGAAGGUUAAAGGUGGCUGUAUUUUCUGGGGGCUGUAGUCAGACAAAAAUAUUUCACACAAGAUUUCUGUGUGAAUCUUUUUGGCACAAAUGUUUUUACUUUAAAAUUAUCCUUAUGUCCAGUCUGAAUCUACUCAAGUGGAUUCCCACAUUGUGCCCAUUUGAAACAAAAGUUUCACCAAAAACAAAACAAUCCCCGCCCCCACCCUACCCUAGGAAAUAGAGCUAGGCUCACUGCCUUGGAAAGAGAUUCAGCUUGGAAGAUGUGAGGCCUAAGAAAUUACUGCAAGAACAAGAUGAACUUCUGCUGGACUUGAGUGCCCAUUGGAAAGGAAUGCCCAUGUUGACCACAGUGCCAUUACAUCAGACAUUCACUCGUUCACCUACACAAGAAACAAGACUUAGAAAAGAAUAUAUCUUGCUACAACCCUUGUGUUCCUGGGCUUCAGGAAGGGUACUGGAACACAUUCCAAAACAUGGAGAUGUAAUUAAAAAUCUUCUGGGUCUAGCAUGAGCAAGGCUCAGGUUAUGAACCCCAGAAAGGCCCUGGGUUUGAUUCUUAGCACCACAAAAAUCAAGCAAACAGGUGAUCACCCGGCGGCGUGCGCGUGAGCUCCCAGCCUGCGCGGGAGCUCCCGGCCUGCGCGACAACAGACCCAGGAAGGAC
rnacentral:lncRNA from 1 species